GUUUGUCUACAGUUUUUGACGAUGGCGAUGAGAGAACUUUGAGACGGACAUCGCUCUGCUUGAAAGGGGAAAGACACUUUGCAGAGAGUGAGACACUUGACCAGUUGCCUCUUACUAAUCCAGAACAUUUUGGCACCCCUGUCAUCGGAAAGAAAUCUAACCGGGGGAGAAGGUCCAAUCCACUAUAUAAACCUGAAAGUAACAGCUCAAAGUGUGACCGUCCUGUUCAAUUAAAAAGUCCUGAAGAAGAAGAGUCAUCUUCAUCCAGUGAUGAAGAUGAUGAAGAAAGACGAUUAAAUGAUGAACUAAUUGGUAAAAUUGUCUGUGUAGAGUGUGCAAAUGGAGACAAAAGGAAGACCUCACGGUACCCAGC